rnacentral:lncRNA from 1 species
UCCGUUCUUAAUCUCAACAGCCAUCGGUGAGCCAUCCCUUUCGUCUUUUCCAGCUUCUCUAUGACACUUACACCUAUCUCCAACAUGAGUUUAGUUUUUUAUUUGUAAGUUCCACCAUAUGGAAGUCAACAUGCUGGCAGGUCCCAACCUCAUAGCCUGCUGUUAGCACAUGAAGCUAGAUGAGACGAAUCUGGAAUGCUCUCAUGUAUCAGGUUAGUCUAGAUCAGAACCCCCACCAAAAAAACUGAACUUCACCUGCCAUUCUGAAUCUUAACUACAUUGGGUCAACACAUGUAAUUCAUGAAAUUCUUACAGAUCCCAUUUAGACUUGAUGGAUAUUUUUGUUCCUGCAGACCUAAUUUAGAGUUGAGGUGGCAAUUUUCUUUCACAUGAUUAUCUGAGUAUUUCAACGAAGUAUGCAGAGGGAAGACACCUGAUUGCUGGAUAUAUCUAAACAUGGAAUUAUGUCCGUCAGCUUAUAUAUAUGUACUCUCAUGUAUUUCUCUUUUUUGUUGUGCUCAGAUAAUCAUCUCAAGUCAGACACAUUGAUUACAUUUCCAUAUAUUGUCUUAGUAUUAAACCUAACAUAACCAAACUUAUCAGCUUGUGCUUUUUUUUAUUAAAUACAAACAUUUCUG